AUCAGGCUGAGCCCGCGGGGGCGUGGCCAGGUGGCUCCCAGGUGCCCGCGCGUCGCGGACAUGGCCCCCGCCGCCGCCGGCCCCGCGCAGGUCGUUCGCGCGGCGCAGAAAGACGACUACUACCGCGGCGGGCUCCGGGGCGCGGCGGGCGGCGCCCUGCACAGCUUGGCGGGUGCGAAGAGGUGGCUGGAGUGCAGGAGGGAGGUGGAGCUGCUGUCCGACGUCGCCUACUUCGGCCUCACCACGUUUGCAGGCUACCAGACCCUCGGGGAGGAGUAUGUUGGCGUCAUCCAGGUGGACCCGUCCCGGAGCAGAGUACCCUCCAGGUUGCGCCGUGGCGUGCUGGUGGUGCUGCACACCGUCCUGCCCUACCUGCUGGACAAGGCCCUGCUGCACCUGGAGCUCGAGCUGCAGGCGGAGGCCGACAGCCCCAGGCCCUCGCAGGGCAGCCUGACUCUGGGCGGGCGUGGCCGGUCCCGAGCCGGGCACUGGGUGCGCCAGCACACGGCCACCCUGGCGGAGCCGCAGAAGAAGACACUCCUGCGCGCGGUGGUGGUGCUCAGGCAGGGCCUUAGCUGCCUCCAGCGGCUCCACGUUGCCUGGUUCUACAUCCACGGGGCCUUCUACCACCUGGCCAAGAGGCUCACAGGAGUCACUUACCUUCGUGUGCACUCUCCGGCUGCAGAGGACCCGAGGGCUCGAGAAAGCUACAGGCUGCUAGGAGUCCUCUCCCUGCUGCACUUGGCCCUCUCCGUGGGCCUGCAGCUAUACGGCUUCCGGCAGAGGCAGCGAGCCCGGCGGGAGUGGAAGCUGCACCGAGGCCUGUCUCUCCGCAGGAGCCACGCGGAAGAGAAAGCCGUUUCCAGAAACUCCACGUGUACGCUGUGCCUGGAGGAGCGCAAACACCCCACAGCCACGCCCUGCGGCCACCUCUUCUGCUGGGAGUGUAUCACCCAGUGGUGCCACGCCAAGCUGCGCCGCCGCCCGUGAGGGGUGGGGUUUCUGGGCCCCCAGCAGCCCUGCCGCCCAGGCCCAGCCCAGAUCGAGCUUUCUCGGGGCUGAGGGUCGGGAGGGCCGCACAGGCGGAGUGCCCCCUCUGCAGGGAGAAGUUUCCUCCACAGAAGCUCGUCUACCUGCGGCACUACCGCUAGCCCGGUGGAGGACAGAGGCACCGGGGAAUCAGCAUCAGGAGAGAAACCCCGUCAACUCUCAAGGUCGCUUUUCCUUGCACAGGAAUCUCCUAACUCUGAUUUUCUUUCAUGUCACGUGAGAAACUACACGAGCAGCUCGGGGACGGAAGCUGGACCUGCCUGCAGGGUGGCAGGUCUGAGGUCUCUGCCGAGUGUGGGCUGGCACAUCCCCGCUCCGCCGCCCCGAGCCCCGAGCGGUGCAGGUGGCGAGCAGCAGCUGGGGCAGAGCCCGCCAGGGGGUCUGCUCCCCCGCUUCCCCCCACGGUACAUCUGGGUCACUUCUUCAGGAGCUGGACUGUUGGACAAGGUGGUUUCCAUCCCGUCCCCAAACCAUACAGUGGAAAGUUGGUUCCAGAAGUGGGCCCAGCCAUUCACGUGAUGACAAGAGGAGUCUAUCGGGCGCACAGCAGACGGUUGGGGUUUGGCCCAAAGGGGCAGUUGUGGGAACAGCAGACAACGGGGCUUACCCACUGGUCAGUCCGCCAGCCCCGCUGACCUGGAAACCUUGCCUUCGUCGGCAGAGGCAGGCCACUUGGUGGCUUGGGCACAUCCGCUCACAGGAGCGGAAAGACCCCAAGGAGUCAGGUCUCCACCUGCAGCACCUGGCUCGUGCCUUUUCAUACACGGUCAGGUUUGUCUGCUGUUCUGGAGGACGAAGUCCGCAUCUCGGCCGCGAUCUGCCUGCCCAGGGCUCGGGGUGCACAGCCAGCCUGCAAGGGAGGUUCUCCGCCGCCUUCACGCCUAGCCCGCAGCUGCCUCUCAGAGCUGAGCUCUCCCUGAGCCUGGGCAGGCUGGCCGUUCACACCAGCUCACCGCCGUGUCCAGCCUACUUCCUGCCACCAUUUUGUUAUCUUCGGGUCUUUUAAACAGUAUUUAACUUGUGCCAGAGACUGUACUUUGCCAUGAGCUUCCGGAAGAAACGAGUUCCACAGAAGCGUGGGUCUGUUAAGAAUGUCAUCAGGGUGAACGGAAGGUCCCAUCUCAUAAAGGACGAGAACCUGCGGUCAGGAUGUCCCAUGCCCUGUGCGAGGCUGUGGCCCAGGCUUCCGGCAGAGGCCUGUGCAGACCACUCCGGGAUCUGAGUGGACACGGGCACCCAGGGAUGCAUCGCUCCACACUCCUCAGCUACUACGGGCUGGCCACCUGAGACAGGCCCCCGUGACCACAGGCCAGACUGAGUAGGGGCCUCAGGAGGGAGGCUCCACACUUCCUGAGGGCCUUUACGGACGCCUGACCAAGCGCAGACAGUUUCCUGUCACUUAGGCCUGAGCAUGUAGCAGGAAAACGGUAUGAAAAACAAGUGUCCAGAGUUCCAGCAUUUCAGGUACAACAGUGUUGUAUCAAAGGCACCGGUUCAGGACAUCAUUUAAAUGCCAAGAUUAAAAUCCACGAUCAGGUACGUAAAAGGUUUUCAUAUGGCCUCCUAGAAGCGAGAGGAGCUCCAUCUCAGAUACGUAAAAAUGGGCCCCAAAAAGCCAGACAGUAAACGCAUUCAGUGCCUACAACCCUGAGACGGAUGGGAAACUGGGCAGAGCUACGAGUCCGCAGCGCCUGAGACCAGGAGGCGGCCCACGGCCUGCCCCUCGCCGCUGCGCCCCAGGGACCGGCCCAGCUCCGCGCCUGCUCACGGGCGGCAAGCUGUUGUUUCAGAUAAAGACUCCACAAGAAAGGGGACACUGUCUUUAAUAAAGUUGGAAUUAAAAAGUCACUUAGUAAAA